GCUGGCCGUUCCUCUCCCUAAGGCUACAACCGGAGGGACCAGUAUGGAGAUGUUCACAGCAUUCAGUCUUGGAAUGAUGGAAGGCAGACCUUGAGCUCUUCUGUGUCUCGAUGCACACUAUCUUUUACACGACUAUUUCGGAGGCAAAUUGUCUUACUUGGGAACCAAUCGAGCCGGACUUGGCUGCACCUCAGGACUGUUUGGGCUCUGGCUGCCAUUCACUUGAACCUAGGAUUCACAGUCCAAGGGUGCUCCUUAUGUUAGUACAAAAGAACUAAAGCAAGCCUUUACAGAGACUUGAGAGGAUCAUGCCCCAAAGUAUUACUGUCGUCUACUGUAUUUCCUGUUUGCGCCAUGUUCUUGCGGAGAUUCGGUAACUAACUUGGGCGAAAACCUUGGUUGUACCUCCAGCCUCAGAGAUUUCAGAAGAGAACAUUGGCUUGUUAGCAUGAGUAUUAACAGUUGAUCUUAGCACACUGAAAGACCCCACCUCAACCAGAGUAAAUAUGCAAAAGAUGAGAGCAGCUCACAUUCCAUGCUAUUUUAUUCCAAGGUAUGAAGUUGUCGUUUUUUUUUUUCUGGAUUACAUUUAAAUUACAAUAUAGAUAUUAGCUGGGGAGAGAUGAAGGCCUCUGGCUGUGACUUGUCUCCAGGGUUGAAAGAUGAGCCAAGGCACAGUGACUUAGUUCUCUUGAGAUCUUUUGUCCAAGGCCUAGCAAAGCGAUUGAGGCUGUUCUUAUUUGAUUCUCUUUUGCAAUCCACACUAAUCACUGUGUGCAUCACCUUUAACAGAGAAUCAGAGGGACUGUCAGGCAGAGACGGCCAGCUUCCACCAUUGCUGUUACUGUGACUUCCUCCUGUGACUUUAAAAAUUGACUAAAUUAUGGCUGUAUUUUGAAAUAAAGCUUGUUUUGUUGUUUGGAAA